AUACGGAGGAUCCGAGCGUUAUCCGGAUUUAUUGGGUUUAAAGGGUGCGCAGGCGGGAGAUUAAGUCGGCGGUGAAAUUUUGCAGCUCAACUGUAAAAGUGCCUUCGAAACUGGUUUCCUUGAGUGUAGAUGAAGUAGGCGGAAUUUGUGGUGUAGCGGUGAAAUGCAUAGAUAUCACGAGGAACUCCGAUCGCGCAGGCAGCUUACUAAACUACUACUGACGCUCAGGCACGAAGGCGUGGGGAUCAAACAGGAUUAGAUACCCUGGUAGUCCACGCAGUAAACGAUGAUUACUAGCUGUUUGCGAUACAAUGUAAGCGGCUGAGCGAAAGCGUUAAGUAAUCCACCUGGGGAGUACGUUCGCAAGAAUGAAACUCAAAGGAAUUGACGGGG
rnacentral:rRNA from 1 species